GCCGCUGUGGCCCGGUUGGCAGAGGCGUCGCCAGUACAGAUCGCGAAGAUCGCUGGUUCAAAUCCAGCAUGCGGUG